rnacentral:rRNA from 1 species
GUGACCCGGUGUGGCGGCGUGGAGGGGCCACCGCUCCACGUAUAAUAGCGACCGGGGGGGUACCAGGCUUAUCGCCCCCAAGCGUGCAGAUCGACGGGGAGGUGUGGCAGCUCGAGGGGGGCCCAUCACCUCCUGUGGCGGUAGUAGUGCCCAAGGGUUGGCGUGUUCGGUCAUGAAAUUGGUACGCGAGCUGGGGUCAGAACGUCGUGAGACAGUGCGGUCCCUAUCCGUCGCAGGCGUAGGAAAUUUGGGAAGACCUGUCCUUAGUACGAGAGGACCGGGAUGGACGUACCUCUGGUGUACCAGUUGUUCUGCCAAGGGCAUGGCUGGGUAGCUAUGUACGGAAUGGAUAAGCGCUGAAAGCAUCUAAGCGCGAAGCCAACUUCAAGAUAAGAUUUCCCACCGCAAGGGUAAGACCCCAGAAAGACUAUCUGGUUGAUAGGUCGAAGGUGUA